AACAGGUCACACUCCUUGCUGAGGUCAGUAGAGGACGGGAGUGAGUCUAAACUUUUCAUCAACUUUUGUUCCCACAUAUAAAUAGCCAAUCGAUCUCUCGUUCUCUUAACAAACUUUUGUGUCUCGUAUUUUCUCUUACAUCACUUAAUUUAUAAUUUCCUUUUCCCAUUUUUUUUCAAAAAAGGAACUAUGAUUUCUGUUUCUGAAUUUGUUCUCUGCAUAGAUGACAAUGUUAGUGGUACGUGCAUGAGAGGGUUAUCAGUGAUCAAGCAUUUGUGUAUGCUCAAUCUGUUUAUGUAGAAGACGGUGACAACGAUGAUGACGAUAUCUAUGAUUAUGCUCCAGCAGCAUGAAUGGAUCAUAUGAAACAUGAUUUUGUACCUUUAUAUAUUAAUGAUUUUUUGCCCUAGGGUUUCUUUAUGUUAGUUGAUUUAAUACCUUCAGUCUUUCACUAUAAAUCCUUUAAUAUUUGCUUCUAUACACAGCUCUUUGUUUCACGUUAUAG